AGUGGCGGACGGGUGAGUAACACGUAGGUACCUGCCCUGAAGAGGGGGACAACACCGCGAAAGCGGUGCUAAUACCGCAUAAGACCACUGGGAUAAAAGUAGCACUUCAGGAUGGGCCUGCGGCCUAUCAGGUAGUUGGUGGGGUAACGGCCCACCAAGCCCGAGACGGGUAGCCGGUCUGAGAGGACGAACGGNCACACUGGAACUGAGACACGGUCCAGACUCCUACGGGAGGCAGCAGUGGGGAAUUUUGCACAAUGGGCGAAAGCCUGAUGCAGCGACGCCGCGUGGAGGAUGAAGGCCUUCGGGUUGUAAACUCCUUUUGCAGGGGACAAUUGAUGGUACCCUGCGAAUAAGCCACGGCUAACUCUGUGCCAGCAGACGCGGUAAGACAGAAGUGGCAAGCGUUGUUCGGAAUCACUGGG
rnacentral:rRNA from 1 species